GAGCAAAGGUGUCUGAUAAUAUUAAUUAUCUAAUGGCUCAAUUUGCAUUGAAGGUUGGCAAUAUCAAUAAGUGAUUCUCCGUGCCUUUCAGAUUUAUACUGUUUUGAACAGGCCUCGAACAAGUCCCAACAUU